UGCAGACCCCUGGACUUGUUCUUGCAGGUGGAUAAUGUCCUUGUGGGAUGAUGCUUUCCUCAGGGUGGACACAAGUAUCUGCCAAGGUGCAUGGUUUGACAAGUAAAACAUGGGCUGGAUUUAAAUCCCCUUUGGACUCUGUAGCUUGGGUAACUUACACGGUAUCUUUAUUGAGUAAAAUUCCCCAGGUAUGUUUUCUGCACAAUUGUAUGGUUAGAGCAAUAUUAAUUGUUGGUCUCCCUGUGCAUGAAGAGUAAAGAGUCCAGCUCUUCAAUGCCUGACAGAGACUCUUACUAUGAAGGGAAGGAAAUUAGAGCAUAUGGAGGUUAAGUGUUCUUCCCAAUACUGCAAAGGCAGUAAUUGGAAGAUCUGUCAGUUGAAUUAUGGAGGAAGCCAGGUGAAUAGAGGUGCCUCCUGUGUCUAUGGUUCUGAGCUUCCCUUGGGCCUACCAUGAUUUCUAAGCCUUCUCCACACCCAGUAGUGGUCACCUCAGCCGGCUCCUAGGACUACUUUAUAACUAUAUUACAUUUGUUUAUUAAAGCAAUCAAUCCUCUUGGUUAUCUUCCUAAUGUUCAUUAUUUCCCCUAUCUGUUCCAGAUGAAACCCUGUUAUUUUUUUCUUUUUCUUUUUUCUUUUUUUUUUCAGGUAUCCAUCCUCCUCCAGUUGCGUCAGCCCUGUCAGGGCUCCAGCAACCAUGGAUAAUGAGAUUACCAAGCUCUUCUGGGAAGACAAUGUGUUCCAACAAUGGCCCGUUCCACAUGCUUUCUUUAUAUGAGUGACACUCCUCUUUAUCCACAAGAUGUGUGCCCUGAGCAACAGCAACCAUGCUGUGAAGAAGCACGAACCAGCCUAGACUGAUAGAUGGCAUACAAAGGCUCACAUGGAGUGGAACUGAGGUCCCCAGCCAGCAGCCAGCAGCCAGCAGCCAGCCUCAACUACCAGCCCAGUGAGUGAAUGAAGCUUCAAAUGAUUCUACCACUCAGCUUUUGAUCCACUUCAGCUGUUGCAAUGUAGCGCUAAGACAAGUUAUCCCCACUAAAUCCUGCCCAAAUUACAGAUUAAUGAGCAAAACAAAUUUGUCUUGUUUGAAGUUACUAAGCAUCAGAACAAUUCUUUUUUAUACUAAAGGUAACUGUUACUGAGAAACAGGUCUCAGGUGCCUGACAUUACUCACACAAAAUGAUAUAAAUCUAUUUUGAGAUCAUCAAAAAUGACUCUAAUUUUGCUUCGUUGUUAACUUGGAAUUAUCUAUGACCUCUUUAACUCCAUGCCUUCUGCCCCAGUAAAUUGCAAAUAAAUGAAUGGUAUUAUCUGAAUUGAAUAUUAAGGUUAACUGAGAAGUCCCAUGUAACAGCAAAAGUUCUAGACACAGCCUAUGUCCCAGAUCAACAGACAGAUUUCCAGCAGGAAUGAAAAUAUAAUGGCAAAUAUGUUUGGCAUUUUUUUUUUUUUUAGACAGGGUCUCUCUUUGUCAACCAGCCUGGAGUGCAGUGGUGCUAUCUCAGCUCACUGCAGCCUCUACCUCCUGAGUUUCAGCGAUUCUCCUGCCUCAGCCUCCCAAAUAGCUGGGAUUACAGGCAUGCACCACUACACCUGGCUAGCUAAGUAUGUUUUAUAGUGAAAGUAAAAGCUGUUAAGUUCUACUAAGAAAUGGCUUACUUAAGCAAAAAGAGCAGUAAAUAUAUAGUGAAAAAAACUGGGUUGAUAUUUUCACGCUGUCAUUUUCUAGCUGAGCAAGUCACUUAACUUAUCCAGGCCUCAAUUUCCUCAAAUGCAAAAUUGAGGGGAGAAUAAUGCCUCAUUGUCACAGUUCUUGUGAAGAUUUAAUUCAAUGGAUUAACAGACAGAAAAGUGCUCUAGAUUGUUACACAAAAGAAAAUAAUGAAUGGCAAUUUUUUAAAUGUUAUUUUUAAAAACGACCAGCUAAAUCUUAAAUGUUAAAACAGCCAGCUAAAUCUUAACAUUAAUCAGAGGUCUAGUUUUCACUUAGGAAGAUUGAGGACUGAUUUCAUUAACCUAUAUUUAGAGGUAUUACAUGAAAUUUAUUUUCCAUUUACUGCUAACCUUCUUACUAAUUUCUAUUUGAGCAGCUAUGGUUUUAAAUUUGUCUGGCUUCUUAAGAGUAUGAUCAGCUGGUGCUUGGCUGUUAGCCAAAACAUAAGCUACAGGGAACAAGAGCUGGCAGCUCUGGUAUUAUAUUUUUGAUGUUUGAAAAACCCAGCCAGUUUAGAGGGUUUUUUAAAAAAGCAUUUUAAUAUCAGUGAAUUAACAGCUUAAUGUCAGGAGCAAGGUAAAAUCUGAGAAAGAAACCUUGAUAUGAAACCUUUUCCUAGGAAGAGAGGAAAGAUCACAGUAACUGAAACCUUCUUAUACUCUUGUUUAAAACCUAUCAUACCUGAAUUAAAUAAGGUGUCAUGGCAGACAGAAUGAGAAAGCUUAUUCUGUGAUGCUUUCUAAUGCACUUUACAUAAGAACCUUCAAAUGGCAUUAACUUGCAGCUGCCUUCACCCUGGGCUUAAUUUUGCAGAACUUCCAUUAUCAUAGUUACAAUUCCCUGACGCCUUGGAAAUGCUGCCAAGGCCUUCCUAGUUGAAGACAUUGAAGCCGCUUGCUGAAAAAGGAAUCACACCACAGCUGUGCUCUCUUGGGGCUUGUGCUCUUUUGGGAACUAAAGCCCCACAGUUCUUACAAGAGAGGUCCAGGAGCCAUGCCUAUGAGCUUUGACUGUCUGAGAAAUGAAUUAUCCUCACCGUAGUGGAUAGAAGCAGGAGUGGAAUCUCAGCUGACUGCAGCCACCCCAACCAAGUCCUCUUUUAUGACAAAAUGAGUGAAACAUCACACAUCGACAUUUUAGAGGCUACAUCUGGCUUUCACCAAUUAGAUGUAAAGGUCCUGAGCCGCUGUAAAUAUGCACUUUGGGCAACAGUUCAAAUUCCACCUCUGUCACAUGUCAGCUGGACGAGCUUGGGAAAACUACUUAAGUUAAAAUCUGGUGAUAAAAGAAGUUCAGAUGUAUUGAAUCAUUAUGAAGAUGAACUGGGAUAAUCCCCAGACAGUGUUAAUACCUGGCCCGGAUAAGACCUAAAAGGCAAUCAGCAGCUAGUAUCAAAAAAUAAUAACUAGGGAAGCAUGGUGGCUCAUGCCUCUAAUCCCAGCACUUUGGAAGGCCAAGACAGGUGAUUGCUUGAGGUCAGGAGUUCAAGACCAACCUGGCCAACAUGGUGAAAACUUGUCUCUACAAAAAAAUACAAAAAUUGGCUAGGUAUGGUGGCAGGUGCCUGUAAUCCCAGCUACUCGAGAGGCGGAGGCAUGGGAAUCCCUUGAACCCGGGAGGUGGAGGUUGCAGUGAGCCGAGAUCAUGCAACUGCACUCCAGCUGGGGUGACAGAGCGAGACUCUGUCUCAAAUAAUAAUACUAAUAAUACUAAUACUACUACUACUACUAAUAAUAAUAGUAACCACUGUUAUUAUUACAAUAAUAUCACACAUUUGUUUAUUUAUACAAACAUUUUCUGUUUGACAAAUGUUUAUUAAAUGCUAAUUAUGUAUAAAGUGAGGACAAAGCAAUUUCUAAGAAAUUAAUACAAAAUAAAUGACCAAAACUUCUCUGCAUCUACCUCAAUUUUACCAGGAGGAGAGGAAACAGGACAUUUGGGGUGUCAGUGUGAUUUGCGUAGCCUUGACUUGUCCACUUUCUCCUGUUUAUUACCUCGUGAACAUGAUUCCAAGAGAGAUGCAGAGUGUGAAAGAAAGCAUGCCAUAGCCCUGCUUGUGAAAAGAGUAUUUGAAAGAUCAAGUGUGCUGAGGGGAGCGGGGCAGCAGAGAGACUGACUGUCCAGAGGGCAGGUGGGGUCUACAGGAAGGUGCAUCUCAGGAACCUAGAAUUACGGUACAUUUAUAAAAAUACCACCAGUUAGAUUCCUAUAAUAAUUCACAAAGCCUUGCCAAUGCAAAGAGCAAAGCUCUGACAGGCCUGAUUAAACUUAAAUGAAAAAAUGCUAAAAUGCUUGGUCAUCAGCAGAAGCAGAGUCAGGUUGCAGAGGCAAAUGGUGGCAAUAACCUUCAAAGAACUAGCCAGUGUGCCCCAUUGGUCCACAUCCCUAUUUGGAAAGGAACAGCAGGCUCUGAUAGCUUGAUGCCAUUCAAUGCUCCAGCUCAUACCUCUAGUCCUCGCUGAAUGCUCACCAAGGACCUUCAGUGAUCUGGCUUCCCCUGCACUUAAGAAUCUAAAGUUGCUGGUUAUACCAGUUUGAAUGGAAGUACCCCUGACGUUCCAUUUCUCUUU
rnacentral:lncRNA from 10 species